rnacentral:rRNA from 1 species
CCUACAGGAGGCUGCAGUGGGGAAUAUUGGACAAUGGGGGGAACCCUGAUCCAGCCAUGCCGCGUGUGUGAAGAAGGCCCUCGGGUUGUAAAGCACUUUCAGUGAGGAAGAACGCCUGGUGGUUAAUACCCAUCAGGAAAGACAUCACUCACAGAAGAAGCACCGGCUAACUCCGUGCCAGCAGCCGCGGUAAUACGGAGGGUGCGAGCGUUAAUCGGAAUUACUGGGCGUAAAGCGCGCGUAGGUGGCUUGAUAAGCCGGUUGUGAAAGCCCCGGGCUCAACCUGGGAACGGCAUCCGGAACUGUCAAGCUAGAGUGCAGGAGAGGAAGGUAGAAUUCCCGGUGUAGCGGUGAAAUGCGUAGAGAUCGGGAGGAAUACCAGUGGCGAAGGCGGCCUUCUGGACUGACACUGACACUGAGGUGCGAAAGCGUGGGUAGCAAACAGGAUUAGAUACCCCGGUAGUC